rnacentral:rRNA from 1 species
AAUGAACGCUAGCGGCGUGCUUAACACAUGCAAGUCGUACGAGAACUCUUUAGCUUGCUAAAGAUAGUAAAGUGGCGCACGGGUGAGUAACGCGUGGGUAAUCUACCUCUGAAUUUGGGAUAACUCCGCGAAAGCGGGGCUAAUACCGGAUAAUAUUUCAGGAUCUUCGGGUCUUGAAAUCAAAAGUGGCCUCUACAUGUAAGCUACUGUUUGGAGAUGAGCCCGCGUACCAUUAGCUUGUUGGUAGGGUAAUGGCCUACCAAGGCUACGAUGGUUAGCUGGUCUGAGAGGAUGAUCAGCCACACUGGAACUGACACACGGUCCAGACUCCUACGGGAGGCAGCAGUGAGGAAUUUUGCGCAAUGGGGGAAACCCUGACGCAGCAACGCCGCGUGAGUGAUGAAGGCUUUCGAGUCGUAAAGCUCUGUCAAGUGGGAAGAAUAUAAUAAAUGUUAAUAUCAUUUUUUACUGACGGUACCACUAAAGGAAGCACCGGCUAACUCCGUGCCAGCAGCCGCGGUAAUACGGAGGGUGCAAGCGUCAUUCGGAAUUAUUGGGCGUAAAGGGCGCGUAGGCGGUCUUUUAAGUCAGAUGUGAAAGCCCGGGGCUUAACCCCGGAAGUGCAUUUGAAACUGAAGGACUUGAGUAUGGGAAGAGGGGAAAGUGGAAUUCCUGGUUGUAAAGGUGAAAUUCGUAGAUAUCAGGAGGAACACCGGUGGCGAAGGCGACUUCCUGGACCAAUACUGACGCUGAGGCGCGAAGGCGUGGGGAGCAAACAGGAUUAGAUACCCCGGUAGUCCUAG